rnacentral:tRNA from 1 species
GGGCCCAUAGCUCAGCGGUAGAGCGACCGGCUCAUAACCGGUUGGUCCCAGGUCCGAAUCCUGGUGGGCCCACCA